rnacentral:lncRNA from 1 species
CACACAUCUACCAUAGCAUUCAUCACCAAUCAUUAAAAUUGCUACAAAUAUUAUCACUCACUGUCCCAAAUAUUGUUAUUCUCUCUCUCUAAAAAGAUUUAAUGCAGAAGAGGCAUGGGUUAUGCAAAAAUAUGUGAGGAAAUAAAAAGGGGCAAGUGCCCGGAACCUCGAAAAAGAAAGAAAAAGAGUGAGACGAGAGGUAAAAAUGGACAAGUGUCCGAAGUAGAAUUAGGGGUACAAAGAUGCCCGC